CCGCCCCACCACUGUCAGGCUCCUUCCCGCCCCCGCCCCAGACGUCCUGCUCCCGUGGGCAUCCGCCCUGGGGGCGGGGCUCAGUGACCCACCUUCUCGCGCUGCCCACGCUGUGGGUGGUCCUCCGCCUGGGAGCCUCCCUGUGGCUCGAGCCUCUGUCGUCCGCUUUUAGUUCCCUGAACACUCCCCCAGGCCGGCUCUCGGCUCCCCCGCCCAGGGUCCCAGCCCCACUGGGCUCCCUCAGCCCUCACACUACAGACACAGCCCUCAGGACAGAAGCAGACAGCUGUUCUCUUCCCAUCAGGCCCGUGACAACACGGGGACAAGGGGCUUUGUCACAGAGCCACCACGGGGCAGCAGGGCCCGGGUGUGAGCGCAGGUCUGCCCGAGCCACAGCUGGAGGCGCAGAUGGGGAAACAGAGGCACCGAGAGAGCUUGAAAGGACAUGGUGCGAGGGGAGGAGGACCCGGAGCUGGGGGCCUGGGACAGUUUGAAAACAGGAGCCGUGAUAAAACCAGCUUCGCGGAUGUGUGUGAAAUGGAGAGGGUGCUGAGCUGGCUCAGUCUGUGAGCCAGGGAUGCUGUUAGGACGUCCCGUCCCGGCUCCAAGCGCCUGCCCCCACCUCCUGUUAAGAAACCACAGCUCUUCCCCUCCCCUCCUCUCCUCUUCGCUCCCUUUCCUAACAAUUUGGUCCAAAGCUUCGGGGAGGCAGAGCAAGAGGCACCUCAGAGAAUUCUCCGGCCUGGCGUCUUCCUCAAGUAGUCUGACGUCAUUUGCUCAGGGGCUUCUCCAUCCUGGGGGUACUUGGUUCACCUUGCCAGUGUGGACAAAACCAGCGUGCUGGAGAGGGCGUCUGCAGAGAGCAUCUCUCUAAGGAUGCUGUCAGAUUCUGGACGGAGAGCUGUGGCGUGACCUUCGCUCAAGGCAUCCACACACUUGGCCGUGAUGGACAGGGGCUUGUCCAAGGGGAGUCCGUGACCAAGAGAUGAGAAGAGGAGGAGAAAUUGGUACAAACAGGUCUGAGAGCCAGAGGUGCCUGGGAGAGAUGGAGCCCUCGGGGGAUCCCUGGUGAUACUGGAAAGGAUGCAGAUUUCCAGCUGGAUGAGGGCUGCACGUGAGCACUUGAAGCUAUUCUAGCUGAGUCAUAAGGAACAGGGGGGCUCGGGAGCGCUGAGGGUCUGGGAACAGCCACGGACAGUACUGUGGAUGGAGAUUGCUGUUGGGCAAAACAGGCGUCGGUCUCGCUAAGAAUUGGGGUGUCAGCUCUGCGUGGUGCAUCCCCUUUCCUGGAAACCCAGGUUCCUCAGGGUGGUUGACAGAGGCCCCCCGCAGCGGCCCCCGCCUUCCUCCAGCCUCCCAGGACUCCCUCCCUCUCGGAUCCAGCCACACUCACAGUUCCCCAAAACUCCAUGCUUUGCCCUCUGGCCCGCUUGGCCAGGUAUGUACUGCUCCCUUAUCUACACGUGCACAGGUGCACACACACCUGUGCUAUCUGGAAAACCUGCUCUGAUUCAUCUCUUACAGUGAAUUAUUUUUAAAAAUU